rnacentral:rRNA from 1 species
UACGGAGGGUGCAAGCGUUGUUCGGAAUCACUGGGCGUAGAGAAUGCGUAGGCGGCUUAACAAGUCAGGAGUGAAAUCCCAGGGCUCAACCCUGGAACUGCUUCUGAAACUGUUUUGCUAGAGUCCCGGAGGGGUUAGCGGAAUUCCGAGUGUAGAGGUGAAAUUCGCAGAUAUUCGGAGGAACACCAGUGGCGAAGGCGGCUAACUGGACGGGAACUGACGCUGAGGCUUGAAAGUGUGGGGAUCAAACAGG